rnacentral:rRNA from 1 species
AGUCGACGGUAAGGCUCCAGCUUGCUGGGGUACACGAGUGGCGAACGGGUGAGUAACACGUGGGUGACCUGCCCUGCACUUCGGGAUAAGCCUGGGAAACUGGGUCUAAUACCGGAUAGGACCGCACCGUGAGGGUGUGGUGGAAAGUUUUUUCGGUGUGGGAUGGGCCCGCGGCCUAUCAGCUUGUUGGUGGGGUAAUGGCCUACCAAGGCGGCGACGGGUAGCCGGCCUGAGAGGGUGGACGGCCACAUUGGGACUGAGACACGGCCCAGACUCCUACGGGAGGCAGCAGUGGGGAAUAUUGCACAAUGGGCGGAAGCCUGAUGCAGCGACGCCGCGUGGGGGAUGACGGCCUUCGGGUUGUAAACUCCUUUCACCAUCGACGAAGGGUUUCUGACGGUAGAUGGAGAAGAAGCACCGGCUAACUACGUGCCAGCAGCCGCGGUAAUACGUAGGGUGCGAGCGUUGUCCGGAAUUACUGGGCGUAAAGAGCUCGUAGGUGGUUUGUCGCGUCGUCUGUGAAAUUCCGGGGCUUAACUCCGGGCGUGCAGGCGAUACGGGCAUAACUUGAGUACUGUAGGGGAGACUGGAAUUCCUGGUGUAGCGGUGAAAUGCGCAGAUAUCAGGAGGAACACCGGUGGCGAAGGCGGGUCUCUGGGCAGUAACUGACGCUGAGGAGCGAAAGCAUGGGGAGCGAACAGGAUUAGAUACCCUGGUAGUCCAUGCCGUAAACGGUGGGCGCUANGUGUGGGUUUCCUUCCACGGGAUCCGUGCCGUAGCUAACGCAUUAAGCGCCCCGCCUGGGGAGUACGGCC